CUGAGCCACCCGGGUGCUCCCGAAAGAUGAUUUUUUAACUUUUGCUGUGAUUUGAUGUUUUGUCACGGAAAUGAUCAAACAUAACCUAAGGUAGAAUCAGGGGUGGGGAGGAAGGUCAAGGCAUUUGUGCUGAGGUGACAUUUAGCUGGGUGGCCUCUGGAAUCACAACCCCCUUGGCUGUCGGAGCUGGAGGGCCCCUUAGCUGCCACCCGGUGUCCCCUCACUGGACAGAGGAAGAAGCCGACGCCCGGGAGGGGACCCAUCUUGCUCGAAGCCAUGCAUCGAAUGGGUCAGCGACCGCUUGGUGCCUGGACAGAGCAUCUCCCCAGGUGGUGAAGAAAAGUGCCAGCUGCCUGCAAAUCUUGGCGAGCUCAGUGACACAGCGCCAGCCUGGAAGCCAGGGUUCCAGCUCCGGACCCAGACUCGCUGGACGGCCUUAGAGCUGAUUCACCCUGGGAGUGUCUCAGAACCUGCACCCGUGCUGUCUUCUGAUGGCAGAGGCCACCAGCUGCUAACCAGGGCUCAGCCAUGCUUCGUGCCUGACUCAGCCACGGGAGGAGGUGGAGGAGCCUGGAGGCAGCCAGGGCCAGGAAGGAGAAGUCCAGCUCGGUGACAUUAACAGGGAGAUGGGACCGCCCGGCGUUUCCGUUUCUGGACACAGGCACGGUCGUAAAACUGAGCACAGUCAGACCCCGUGCUGUCCCUGGCAGUCCCACCCCGGCCUGCUGCAUGAGCUGUUUCCUACCUCAGGACCUUUGGCCAGGUCAUUCCACUGCCCGGAAACCUCCCUGCCCUGCACUGUGCACUCGUUCAGGGCUCUGCUUAGAUAUUUCCUCCCCAAGAGGCCUUCUUGACCAUUCUACCCAGAGGGGUCACUCUGACAUUUUCCAUUUCAGCACCCCACUGUUUGAAACAUGCAACUCUCUGCAAUUUAUAAUCAAUUCAAUCAUCCAGCUCAUUACUGUCUGUCUAUUUCACUACUAUUCAUUGUAAUAAUGGCCCUCCCACCAAACUGUCACCCAAAACCAAGCAGGGGCCGUAGGGGUGCUUAA